rnacentral:rRNA from 1 species
UGGGGAAUUUUGCACAAUGGGCGCAAGCCUGAUGCAGCGACGCCGCGUGAGGGAUGAAGGCCUUCGGGUUGUAAACCUUUUUCGCUCAUGGUCAAGCCGCAGCUUUGGGUUGUGGUGAGGGUAGUGGGUAAAGAAGCGCCGGCUAACUACGUGCCAGCAGCCGCGGUAAUACGUAGGUCCCGAGCGUUGUCCGGAUUUAUUGGGCGUAAAGCGAGCGCAGGCGGUUAGAAAAGUCUGAAGUGAAAGGCAGUGGCUCAACCAUUGUAGGCUUUGGAAACUGUUUAACUUGAGUGCAGAAGGGGAGAGUGGAAUUCCAUGUGUAGCGGUGAAAUGCGUAGAUAUAUGGAGGAACACCGGUGGCGAAAGCGGCUCUCUGGUCUGUAACUGACGCUGAGGCUCGAAAGCGUGGGGAGCGAACAGG